UUGUCUUUUAAAUGAAGACCCGUAUGAAUGGCAUAACGAGGGCUUAACUGUCUCCUUUUUCCAGUCAAUGAAAUUGAUCUUCCCGUGCAGAAGCGGGAAUAACCACAUAAGACGAGAAGACCCUAUGGAGCUUUAGACACCAGAAUAGACUAUGUUAAACACACCUAGCAAAAGGCUAAAACUGAUUAACCCCUAUUCCAAUGUCUUUGGUUGGGGCGACCGCGGGGUAACAAAAACCCCCCACGUGGACCGAGAGCACCUCUACUCCUACAACCCAGAGUUACAACUCAAAGUAACAGAACUUCUGACCAACAAGAUCCGGCAUAGCCGAUCAACGGACCGAGUUACCCUAGGGAUAACAGCGCAAUCCCCUUUUAGAGCCCAUAUCGACAAGGGGGUUUACGACCUCGAUGUUGGAUCAGGACAUCCUAAU
rnacentral:rRNA from 1 species